rnacentral:rRNA from 1 species
GGUCAAGUGACCAAGGGCUUACGGUGGAUACCUAGGCAUUCAGAAGCGAUGAAGGGCGCGGUAACCGGCGAAACGCUUCGGAGAGCUGGAAACAAGCUUUGAUCCGGAGAUACCCGAAUGAGGCAACUCCUUGUACUAUCUACUGAAUAGAUAAGUAGAUAAGAGCGAACUCGGUGAACUGAAACAUCUUAGUAACCGAAGGAAAAGAAAGCAAAAGCGAUUCUCUUAGUAGCGGCGAGCGAAACGGGACCAGCCUAAACUAUCGAGCUUGUCUUGAUAGGGUUGUGGGACAGCAUAAUGAUAUCGCGCGAAUUAGAAGAAGCAAUUGAAUGUUGCACCUUAGAGGGUGAAAGUCCCGUAUUCGAAAAUUCAAACGAGUUAGCUGUAUCCCGAGUAGCAUGGGGCACGUGAAAUCCCGUGUGAAUCUGCGAGGACCACCUCGUAAGGCUAAAUAUUCCUGAAUGACCGAUAGCGCAACAGUACCGUGAGGGAAAGGUGAAAAGAACCCCGGG